rnacentral:rRNA from 1 species
AAUCUUGCGCAAUGGGCGAAAGCCUGACGCAGCCAUGCCGCGUGAAUGAUGAAGGUCUUAGGAUUGUAAAAUUCUUUCACCGGGGACGAUAAUGACGGUACCCGGAGAAGAAGCCCCGGCUAACUUCGUGCCAGCAGCCGCGGUAAUACGAAGGUGGCUAGCGUUGCUCGGAAUUACUGGGCGUAAAUGGCGCUUAGGCGGAUUGUUAAGUCAGGGGUGAAAACACGGGGCUCAACCGCGGAACUGCCCUUGAUACUGGCGAUCUUGAGUAUGAGAGAGGUAUGUGGAACUCCGAGUGUAGAGGUGAAAUUCGUAGAUAUUCGGAAGAACACAAGUGGCGAAGGCGACAUACUGGCUCAUUACUGACGCUGAGGCGCGAAAGCGUGGGGAGCAAACA